rnacentral:rRNA from 1 species
CCUACGGGUGGCAGCAGUGGGGAAUAUUGCACAAUGGGGGAAACCCUGAUGCAGCGACGCCGCGUGAGUGAAGAAGUAAUUCGUUAUGUAAAGCUCUAUCAGCAGGGAAGAAAAUGACGGUACCUGAGUAAUAAGCCCCGGCUAACUACGAGCCAGCAGCCGCGGUAAUACGUAGGGGGCAAGCGUUAUCCGGAAUUACUGGGUGGAAAGGGAGCGGAGACGGCAGUGCAAGUCUGGAGUGAAAGGCGGGGGCUCAACCCCCGGACUGCUCUGGAAACUGUACGGCUGGAGUGCAGGAGAGGUAAGUGGAAUUCCUAGUGUAGCGGUGAAAUGCGUAGAUAUUAGGAGGAACACCAGUGGCGAAGGCGGCUUACUGGACUGUAACUGACGUUGAGGCUCGAAAGCGUGGGGAGCAAACAGGAUUAGAUACCCUUGUAGUC